AAAGCCGUUUUGUUUUCAGGUGCUUUGCCAGCCAGGCAAGGUUAAACGGGAAUCUGGUGUAACACCAGAGCUGCCCCCGCAACGGUAACUUACUGUGUUUAUUUCAGAUGCCACUGUCAUAAGUCGCUUACUACAGGCGCUCAGAUGGGAAGGCGAAAUAGACGGUAGCCCUGUGCUACCAGGUAAUAAGCCCGGAGACCGGCCUGAAAAUUCCCCUAACC
rnacentral:ncRNA from 2 species